AGUGAACGCUGGCGGUAGGCCUAACACAUGCAAGUCGAACGGCAGCACAGAGGAGCUUGCUCCUUGGGUGGCGAGUGGCGGACGGGUGAGGAAUACAUCGGAAUCUCCUCUGUCGUGGGGGAUAACGUAGGGAAACUUACGCUAAUACCGCAUACGACCUACGGGUGAAAGCAGGGGACCUUCGGGCCUUGCGCGAUUGAACGAGCCGAUGUCGGAGUAGCUAGUUGGCGGGGUAAAGGCCCACCAAGGCGACGAUCCGUAGCUGGUCUGAGAGGAUGAUCAGCCACACUGGAACUGAGACACGGUCCAGACUCCUACGGGAGGCAGCAGUGGGGAAUAUUGGACAAUGGGCGCAAGCCUGAUCCAGCCAUACCGCGUGGGUGAAGAAGGCCUUCGGGUUGUAAAGCCCUUUUGUUGGGAAAGAAAUCCAGCUGGCUAAUACCCGGUUGGGAUGACGGUACCCAAAGAAUAAGCACCGGCUAACUUCGUGCCAGCCGCCGCCGUAA
rnacentral:rRNA from 1 species